AAUAAAAAUAUCUUUGGUUGGGGCAACCACGAAGAAAAAAUAACCUUCGACUCUAAUAAAAAUUAACAAAUUUAACAUUUUAAAAAAUUUGAUCCGGAACUUCCGAACAAAGAAAAAAGUUACCGCAGGGAUAACAGCGUUAUUCUCUUUAAGAGUCCAUAUUGACAAGAGAGUUUGCGACCUCGAUGUUGGACCGGGGCAUCCAAGAGAUGCAGAAGUCUCUAAAGGUAGGUCUGUUCGACCUUUAAAGCCCUACGCGAUCUGAGUUCAGACCGACGCAAGUCAGGUCAGUUUCUAUCUA
rnacentral:rRNA from 1 species